AACCAUAGGCCAUGUAUCUGUUCGUGGGACACGUUCAGGUGGACAUUUUGUCUGUGGCGGUCUCCUCCCAAAAGGUAACGGAGGCGCUCAAAGGUUCGCUCAGUACGGUCGGAAAUCGUACGUAGAGUGUAAAGGCAACAGAGAGCUUGAUUGCAAGACAUACAGGUCGAGCAAGGAUGAAAAUCGGACUUAGUGAUCCGGUGGUUCUGCGUGGAAGGGCCAUCG
rnacentral:rRNA from 1 species